UCAGUAAACAAUUUCAUGAUGGCUCAUAUGAAACGACUGAGCAGGCAAAUGCUAAAUGAUAACCACUCACUCAAUGAUAACCAAACACCAGCAUGAAGAUGAAGGAUAAGAAGAGGCGAUGUCUUCGACUGGUUGGAGAGCCAACCUGUGCGUCAAAGAAGAGGCGGCAGACCAAUGAGGCAGAUCACGGGGCGUCGGCGAGCCGGCAGACCUCGGGGCGUCGGUGUUGGAAACCAGUGUUAUCACGGGGCAUCGGCGAGGCGGCAGACCUCGAGCGUCGGCGAGGCGGCAGACCUCGGGGCGUCGGUGUUGGCAACCAGUGUUUGCCAAGAAGGCAGACGUCGGAGAAGAGACGGCAGACCACUGGGCGGCGAGGUGGUUGCCGUACGGAAGGCAUCGGAGAAGAGAUGGCAGCGUAAGAGUGAGAAGAGACGGCAGCGUGAGGGGAGAGAUGAUUUCCUAUUCCGCCCAGCUGAUUCAUAGGGAUACGGCUGGGCUGAUUGGUUUCCUUGUACGUCUGCGCUGAUUGGUUUCCUUGUAUGUCUAGGCUGAUUUUUUUCCUUGUAUGUCUCGGCUGAUAGCUGAUUGUCUGCGCUGA